rnacentral:rRNA from 1 species
AGAGCGAACGCUGGCGGCAUGCUUAACACAUGCAAGUCGCACGGUCAGGUUUCGGCCUGGUAGUGGCGGACGGGUGAGUAACGCGUAGGUAUCUAUCCGAAGGUGGGGGAUAACGGCGGGAAACUGCUGCUAAUACCGCAUAUGACCUGAGGGUCAAAGGUCGCAAGACCGCCUGUGGAGGAGCCUGCGUACGAUUAGCUUGUUGGUGGGGUAAAGGCCUACCAAGGCGACGAUCGUUAGCUGGUCUGAGAGGAUGAUCAGCCACAUUGGGACUGAGACACGGCCCAAACUCCUACGGGAGGCAGCAGUGGGGAAUAUUGGACAAUGGGGGCAACCCUGAUCCAGCAAUGCCGCGUGUGUGAAGAAGGUCUUCGGAUUGUAAAGCACUUUCGACGGGGACGAUGAUGACGGUACCCGUAUAAGAAGCCCCGGCUAACUUCGUGCCAGCAGCCGC